UACGAAGGGGGCUAGCGUUAAUCGGAAUUACUGGGCGUAAAGCGUGCGCAGGCGGUUGUGCAAGACAGAUGUGAAAUCCCCGGGCUUAACCUGGGAACUGCAUUUGUGACUGCACGGCUAGAGUGCGGCAGAGGGGGAUGGAAUUCCGCGUGUAGCAGUGAAAUGCGUAGAUAUGCGGAGGAACACCGAUGGCGAAGGCAAUCCCCUGGGCCUGCACUGACGCUCAUGCACGAAAGCGUGGGGAGCAAACAGG
rnacentral:rRNA from 1 species